GAUGAACGCUGGCGGCGUGCCUAAUACAUGCAAGUCGAGCGAACGGACGAGAAGCUUGCUUCUCUGAUGUUAGCGGCGGACGGGUGAGUACCACGUGGAUAACCUACCUAUAAGACUGGGAUAACUUCGGGAAACCGGAGCUAAUACCGGAUAAUAUUUUGAACCGCAUGGUUCAAAAGUGAAAGACGGUCUUGCUGUCACUUAUAGAUGGAUCCGCGCUGCAUUAGCUAGUUGGUAAGGUAACGGCUUACCAAGGCAACGAUGCAUAGCCGACCUGAGAGGGUGAUCGGCCACACUGGAACUGAGACACGGUCCAGACUCCUACGGGAGGCAGCAGUAGGGAAUCUUCCGCAAUGGGCGAAAGCCUGACGGAGCAACGCCGCGUGAGUGAUGAAGGUCUUCGGAUCGUAAAACUCUGUUAUUAGGGAAGAACAUAUGUGUAAGUAACUGUGCACAUCUUGACGUUACCUAAUCAGAAAGCCACGGCUAACUACGUG
rnacentral:rRNA from 1 species